ACUGAGGCGGAUCCAGAGGGCACAUCACAGCUGGACGCUCAGAACAGAGGUCCCGGGGCCAGCCAGGGUCCUUGGCCUGAGUCAUGGCAACAGAAGCCAAUCGAGCAGCCACAGUUACCCCCAGGUCUGGAGCUGAAGGGCUCCCUCCGUGGCAGGGCCUCAGCCACCCCCAGCCUGGCCAGACAGAUCAACCCCAGAAAGUCCCGCCCCAGGAGAAGCCCAGGAGGAGGAGCCGCCGUCUCAAGGAGCUGGGGGCCUGCCAUGUUGUCGUCGCUCUGCUGUACGUGUUCCUUGGGGGUUACCUGGCCGCCAUCGUCCAGAGCCUUCACCUGGUGGUGCUGAAGUCUUGGUAUCCGUUCUGGGGGGCUGCUUCUUUCCUCAUUUCAGGGAUCUUGGCAAUAACAAUGGAGACAUUUCAGAAAAAUUACCUGGUAAGUCACAGCGUUGAGAGUGUUCCCUUCCAUCCCAAGCCUGGGGUAACUUUUCAACGGGCAUCGUUUGGAGUGCGGACUCAAGAGGCAUCUCUCCAGGAUUUGCUAGACGUGGGCACCAGCCUCUGGGACAGCAGAGGGCGUCCGGGCUGAAUGGUCCCCCUUCCUGGAGGUCUGACCUCACACCCUGACUCCCGCCUUUCUCUCCACCUGCUGCCCUCUCCCCACCCCGGUUCUGGCCUAGAGACAGGCAUCAUCCAGCCUAUUGAUGGUAGCCUUGGAGAUUGUUCUGCCAGCCCUACCUUGGCCCCCUGGGCCCCGCCAUCAUACUCCCUACCCCACCCCACCCAAGGCUUGCCUCCAACAUCAGCAAGUCUACCUGCCUGCAGGCUGGACCGCAGCUGGGUUUCCAUAUACGUCUCACCUCUAAGCGCCAGCUGGACACAAGUGGUCCCCCCUGUGCUCUGUGCUGUCUUGUGCCCAGGCACCUUGCCUCUCCCCACUGUGCAUGUUCUCCUGGCUUUGACUUCCUCCUGAUCAUUCUUCAAGGUGCACUUUACAUGCCUCCUCCUCCAGGCAGUCUUCCCUGACCUGCCCUGGCUGGCUCCUGUGUCCCCACAGCUCCUUGGACUUCUCUGUCUCCUUUCUCUCUCAGGCACUAAGCUUGGGCAGCAACUGCCUGAGCAUCUUUCUAGCCCGAGGCAGCCCAGGGAGGCACAGAGUGGACACCCACAUGAGCCCAAGUGGAUGGAGGUGGAUGGGGGCGGGAAGGACCAUCCCAUCCACCCUGUGUCAUGGCCUCAGCACCCCCUCCACCCCCAAGCCCUGGCUGGGUCCACAUUCAUGCCUCCCAUUGCUGAUGAACGGGGAUGGCCUGUCUCUUCUGUGAAUUCACAGGAUCUGAUGGAAAAAAGGGAAGACUCGCCAUCCAGCUUCUCCACUUCCCACCACCUCCCUCUCCCCAAGGGGCAGGGCAGCCCAGGCAUGGUCCCUUGCUCCUCCCUGGCUUGUGCUCUGGCUGUCCCCACCGCCCUCUGUCCGCAGGAGCAGUCUUUGCUGGGGCUGGGGACGUGGAGUAUGGGGCAGGGUGUGGUGCAUCCGAGCUCAUUCAGCCAGGACGUGCGCAAAACUCAUCUCGGUCAAGCGCCAAGGCCGGCUCACAUUCGUGCCUCCCAGACCGGGCUGGACUGGCUGCCCCCUGCCCUCUUGGGGUGUAGCAGACAAAAGCAUGUUGUGCCACUUACCCAGCAGAGGCAGGGAUGCUUGGCAGAAACCUGGCCAUUCCUCCUGGGCUGGGCCCCUUCCAGACCCAUAAGCCUACCCCUUCCUACACCUGAACGCGGGGAGCCUCUCAUUGCAGAGAAAUCCAUUCUAGCAUAAGAGGUUGGGGUGCCUUAUGUUUAUACCCUUUCCCCAUUAUAGGGGUUUGUACUUGGCAAGAAUCCUGUGGAAUAAGGCGGCGUGCCUGACAGCAAAUGCCAUCAGCUUCUUCUGUGUGCUCUGUGGCCUCUUUGUCAUCGCCAAGGAUCUCUUUCUGGAGAGCCCAUUUGACUUCCCUGUCUGGAAACCAUACCCCAACGACACAGUCCACAUCCAGAGGCUGGUGCUGGCCCUGCUCUGCGUCACCUGCCUGGAGGUCUUCCUGCCGGGGCUCAUGGCCAUCCUGGCUUAUAGGGAUACCCGCCUGGCUGCAGAGAAGGAUGACCUGUCCCUUGGCCCUGACAUGCUGUUGGAGCUCAGGGGGUCUCCGAUGACACCUCCACCAUCCUAUGACGAUGUGACUAAAGGCAACGGGUGGCAGGAGCAGAAGCAGAUGUGAAGAGGCACUGGCUCCACGCACCAUCAGAAUUCACCCACUGGUCCCUUGUCCUGGACAGAUUAAGGACCAAUUCCAAGGGGCGGUUACCAGAAGGGGGCAAACGGUACCAUGGCUAAAAACGUCUGCCCCAUGCUGGUGGCCAGGGAGGGGAAGUCCCCAUUCUGUCUGGCAUGGGAGGGACCUCCAGGUCCCCACGCCCCGUAACAUCCCAGCUGGACCAGAACACAACUGGGUCCUGCCCACCCACCCAGGCAGACACGGGAACAGACCCCUGGGUCCGCAGCCCCCUCCCCCACCCUCCUUGUCUGCUUCCCCCAGUCCCUGGUGGGCACAUAGACAUCCUGUCCACGUGGGGCUGUGCCUGAAGAGGAGAAGGGUCCUCAGAGCCCAGAUGGGCACCGUUUUCCCUGGACUCGACCUACCAAGGGGUCUCUACAAACACUUGUGUUUGAAUCCCUGGAUUCGGGGUGGAAACAGCAGGGGCAAUCAGACAGAAACUAUGACCAGUUCUUCCUCCCAAACCAUCAGCAUGUCUCCCCGCCCCCACCCCGGGGCCUCAGUGUCUCCAUCUGUACAGGGAAGGGGCGGGUGGAAGAUGUGACCAGGACCUACCUGCUGGGAAGUUCUGAGAUCAGAGUCAAGUUCACUCAAGGUUAUCAAGGAAGCAUCAGCAUCAGAAUUCCACACCUCCUUGUGCUGAGCGAAUAGUGGGGAGAGAGACCUACCUUCCUCAUUUCCCAAAUUUUCAGUCAUCCAAGGGCCGACCUUACAAAUUUGGUCUAUUUGUGGACUGUGCUGUAUUCCCUUUAUGUUCCCUUAAAUUGCCUUUUUUUCUCAUGCACUAUUAUGUGAGGGGUAAUUUGCAUCAGCAACAAACAGGAAGUCUGUACCUAUCCAUACAAAGAAGCCAACCACAAAAAUCACGUAAACACGGUAAAAAUAAAACAAAAGCAACUUGUCGCCU
rnacentral:lncRNA from 1 species